UACGGAGGAUCCAAGCGUUGUCCGGAUUUACUGGGUUUAAAGGGUGCGUAGGAGGGCAGGUAAGUCAGUGGUGAAAUCUCCAAGCUUAACUUGGAACUGCCGUUGAUACUAUCUGUCUUGAAUAUUUGUGGAGGUGAGCGGAAUAUGUCAUGUAGCGGUGAAAUGACUUAGAUAUGACAUAGAACACCAAAUUGCGAAGGCAGCUCACUACUCAAUCAUUGACUCUGAGGCACGAAAGCGUGGGGGAUCAAACAGG
rnacentral:rRNA from 1 species